rnacentral:rRNA from 1 species
GACGAACGCUGGCGGCGUGCCUAAUACAUGCAAGUCGAACGCACUCUCGUUUAGAUUGAAGGAGCUUGCUCCUGAUUGAUAAACAUUUGAGUGAGUGGCGGACGGGUGAGUAACACGUGGGUAACCUGCCCUAAAGUGGGGGAUAACAUUUGGAAACAGAUGCUAAUACCGCAUAAAACCUAACACCGCAUGGUGUAGGGUUGAAAGAUGGUUUCGGCUAUCACUUUAGGAUGGACCCGCGGUGCAUUAGUUAGUUGGUGAGGUAAAGGCUCACCAAGACCGUGAUGCAUAGCCAACCUGAGAGGGUAAUCGGCCACACUGGGACUGAGACACGGCCCAGACUCCUACGGGAGGCAGCAGUAGGGAAUCUUCCACAAUGGACGAAAGUCUGAUGGAGCAACGCCGCGUGAGUGAAGAAGGUUUUCGGAUCGUAAACUCUGUUGUUGGUAGAAGAAUAGUAUCUGAUAGUAACUGAUCAGGUAGUGACGGUAUCCAACCAG